CCUGUUGUUUUAAAAUUCACAGUUUAAUAGUUCUGUAACAUUUUUUUUUUUUUAAAUUUUCAAAUAGAUGAGGUAAUUGUAACAUUUCAAAACCAAGCUGCACUUUUUAGGUCAUUCUUUAAGAAAAGGACCAUUAUCUCCUUUCCUGGGUAAGUACAGCUAUUCAUGAUUUUAUGUUAAUCUGUUUCUCCAGAUUGUAAUAAUCAUGUUCUUUUUCUGUAUAAUUCAAAUAGACUUCACUGGAGAGAUCUUCGCCUGGAGGAGCUGGAGAGGGCAAAUAUUAAUAUAAAUUUUACUAUUGGCAACUAUUGCUAUUUGACCCUCUCAUAAGUUCUUGUCUGUCCCUUCCCUGGGAUGUGGAGUCCAUAUUUUUGACUGACUUGCAGAAAAUUAAAGUUAAAUGUCAGCCCACCAGAGUAUGGCUUUGAAAGCCGGAGUUUUCAUUUCUUUCAGACCUCAUAUACUCAUCCCAGUAUAUGGCAUCUUGCUUGAAGGAACACUUUCACCAUUUAUUUAUGUAAAAUGCUGGAAUCAAAUCUAUUUUUACAUAGUAAGAGAAGUACCAUGGGCCCUAGCUUGAAGUCCUGUCUCAAAAGAGAAAUUAUAAAUGAAAAUAAAAUCACUUAUCUGUGAACAUAACAUUGAUCAAAUCCAUACCAGCUGUGGGUCUGUUGUACUCAAUGAAUGCCAAACCUCACAUUGAAUUUUUCAAUCCCAAACCAUGGGAUUUUGCUGUUCACACCAAAGAAAACUUCUGUAAAGCUUGUUUUACUUGCUGGGAUUUAGCCCAGAUCAAAGAAUUCCAGGUUCAGGCAGUUCCUCAGUGACUGACAGCCAAAAGUCACCUGAGGAAAAUGAAAUGCAGCCAGGCUGAUGAAAUCCUGGUGAUGCCCAGGAAGGGCUGGAUCUGUGGGGGUGUAGGCACCAAACCAGUCUGAGCUGAACUAAGAAUUCCAGUAAUUUAACCCAUCCUUGCAGGCUUCUCCCCAGGAAGGUGAAGAUGAAGAAUAUCAGUGCCUAUUUUGCUCUCCUGCAAAAGCUGAAAAUCUUCAAUGAGGUUUAAAGAGCGUGUACAAAGCCCAGUUCAUCAAUAAUCAUCUUCUCUCUUCUGACAUCCAAAUGGGAAAUCUGCAGCUGCUUUUGCUGCCUGGCCAGCUCUUUGUUUCAGUGCUUGGAACAGCUUGAAUUUGACAGAUCAGAUUUGUGAAAUGCCAUAAAAGAGAAGAAUCCUCAUCUCCUCCUGCCUUCAGCUUCACCCUGGUGUGGACAUUACAUUUAUUUGUGUGCUGUGUGAGCAGGGGCACACCAAAGGCACCAGUUCUCCAGUAUUUUAUCCCUAAUGGUGGCCAAUAAUUGGUGCCAAGGAAAUAAAUAAAGGAAAAAAACCCAAUAACAGGGUAAGCACCCGUUAUAUUCUCUUAGUUCACAGCCACCUCCUGCUCCCAGAUUUAUGGAGCCUCGGAGCCUUUCCACUUGUGCCUCUUUAUUUCCUGGGUAUUUUGCAAAAUUUACUUGACAAUGCCUGGCCACGGUGGAAAAUGUUACCUUUAAACAGAAACCUGGAUUGGAUGUUUUGUGCACUCCCACCUGGAUCAGAAAGAUCACCACCAGGUCUGCUUCCCUUUUUCAAUGCUCACCUGGCAGAAUGUAAUUUUAUUAAAGUACUGAAAAACACCAUUUUAUUGUCCUAAAAGAGAAAUAUUUCUGAAUUUGAAGAGCAAGGUGGAUUCAUAACAAAAAGUAUUCACUUAAAGGAAAAUAUAUGUAGCAGGUCAUGUGAAAAUCCAUCUUUGUUUGGUCAAAACUCUUUGUCUCUACAAAUCCCCAAAGUAAAACCGGAGUGACCCAUCAGGUUUGAUGUACAAGGAAGAUUAUUCCAGUGAAUAAUUUGAGAAGGCAAAGUACCAAAGUUUCCAAAUCCUGUUUGUGCUCUAUUUCUCCUAACUUCAUCUGAAUCUGUUUCUUGUAGAACCCAGGAGAAGCCUAAGAUGUCUUUGCCAAUCUGCUGAUUAAAUAAGAUUGUGUUAAUAAGUGUUAAAUACAGAGUUGUCACUGCUGUGCGAAAAGUGAAUAUGUUUUGAAAGUUCAGGCAAGUCAUUUCACAAAAUGCCUCUGGAUAAUUUUUAUCUGGUCAUCCAUGGCUUCCUUUGAUGUGCUGUGCCAGGAUUAUUUGAUAUUGCAGUUGAGAGUAUAUCCUCAAAAACCUAAGGAGUACUUUUUUCCAGAGUAGACAAGAGCAAUUUAAUUUUAUUUAUAUUUUUUUACUAAACUAACAGUUCAGAUUCAGUUAAGAAUUUGAAACAGAAUUCCCUGGUGUUUCUAUCACUGGAACAAACACUGACAGACUUCAGAGUGGAUAAUGACUUUGACUCUGGCAGAUAAAGCAGCUCCUGACAAAAUUCCCUGCCCAUCCCACGGGGGAGUUUAACCACACAAAUGCAAAUAACAAACCAUGCAAAUGCUGCAUUCUCAGCCCUGAAGGUGAUUUAUUGCUCUGUUCCCUAACAAUGACAGUCCAGGAGUUGAUGGUGGCCACUGUGGCUCCUCACUCACUGCCACUGCCCAGGGAGGUUCUUACCCAGUCAAGCCAAGGCACCAUCAGGUUUUCUGCAUUUCAGCAAAAAAGUGUGGCCUGGAAACCUGGUGAAAACCCAGAGAAUCCUCCAGAAGUCAAAACUUUGCAGGGCAUAGAACAGUUCGGAGAGGAAACUCCAAGAAGGGAUUCAGGGUUCCUUUAACUUGGCUGUGAUCUCUGCAUGAAAUGUUAAUUCCCACUGGGAUGGAGCAGGGAGUUAGACAUUAAAAAGAUGUGUUUUACACUGCACAGAUCCAGAAAAUUGCUCUGUCCUAAUUACCCCUGUGAUUUGUUUCGUGUGAUUUUACAGUUCUUUUAAUUUUCUUCUGAGAAGUACCUCGUGUGUCAAUGUUUAACCUUUUCCAGGUUGAAUGAAGGUUACUUCAGCCAAAGAAAACGUUCAGUAGGAUGAAUUUCUUUUAUUUCCUUAAACUUUAGUAGAUUACUUGAUGUCUGAGCAGCUUUUUCUUGGAGGUUUUUGGGGUUUUUUUCUUAGAAAAGUACUUUUCAAGGACUCACAGCAAGUUGAAAAAUACAUAAAAUAUCUCUAAACUCAAAUCAUUUCCCAUCCAUAUGACGGUGGAAAACAUAGAUAUGUCCAAAAACCUUACCAUGCACAGAAAAAGAAUGUGGGGGAAAACCUUGCUUGAUAUUAUAGUUGCUUUGCAAUAACCUCAUUUGUCAAGUUUUAAAUAACUUUUGAGGCUUUUGAGAUUAAAAGCUCAAAUCUCACUCCCAGUCCCCUGAGCUUCCUAUUGAACACACUGGAAAUAGAUGGCACAUGCAGCAUUCUGAUAACACCUGACUCA